rnacentral:ribozyme from 1 species
UGUCUAGAAACUCCUAUCCCUACCUCCUCGUGGUACUGGCCGGGACACGAGUAACCUUGGAGAAGA